rnacentral:pre_miRNA from 1 species
AAAUUACUCCCUCCGUUCAGAAUUACUUGUCACAAAAAUGGAUGUAUCUACAACUAAAAUACAUCUAGAUACAUUCAUUUCUUCGACAAGUAAUUCUGAAAGGAGGGAGUACAAU